rnacentral:rRNA from 1 species
AUUCCCCUAGUGACGAGUGAAGUGGGAAAAGCUCAACUUUGUAAUCUGGCAGCUUCGCUGUCCGACGUUGUAGUCUCGAGAAGUGUUUUCCGCGCUGGAUCGUGUAUGAGUCUGUUGGAAUACAGCGUCAUAGAGGGUGAGAACCCCGUUCGUGACACGACUACCAGUGCUUUGUGAUACACUUUCGAUGAGUCGAGUUGUUUGGGAAUGCAGCUCAAAUUGGGUGGUAAAUUCCAUCUAAAGCUAAAUAUUGGCGAGAGACCGAUAGCAAACAAGUACCGUGAGGGAAAGAUGAAAAGCACUUUGGAAAGAGAGUUAACAGUACGUGAAAUUGUUGAAAGGGAAACGCUUGAAGUCAGACGUGCGUUGUGCGAUUCAGCUCCGGUUCGCCGGAGUGUAUUUCGUACUAUUGCAGGCCAGCAUCGGUUUGGCGAGCCGGAUAAAGGUUAGGGAAAGGUAGCGGCUCCGGCCGUGUUAUAGUCCUUAACUGAAUACGGAUUGCUAGACCGAGGGACGCAGCGCGCCGCAAGGCAAAGCUUACGGGCUUUUCGCGCUUAGGAUGCUGGUGAAAUGGCUUUAAACCGACCCGUCUUGAAACACGGACC